rnacentral:rRNA from 1 species
UACAGAGGGUGCAAGCGUUAAUCGGAAUUACUGGGCGUAAAGCGUGCGUAGACGGUUGCGUAAGUCAGAUGUGAAAGCCCCGGGCUCAACCUGGGAAUUGCAUUUGAGACUGCGUAGCUAGGGUGCGGAAGAGGGAAGCGGAAUUUCCGGUGUAGCGGUGAAAUUCGUAGAUAUCGGAAGGAACACCAGUGGCGAAAGCGGCUUCCUGGUCCAGCACCGACGUUCAGGCACGAAAGCGUGGGGAGCAAACAGG